rnacentral:rRNA from 1 species
CACGGGGGGAGCAAGCGUUGUUCGGAAUCACUGGGCGUAAAGGGCGUGUAGGCGGUCAGGUUAGUGAGAUGUGAAAUGCCCCGGCUCACCCGGGGACCUGCAUCUCAAACUGCCUGGCUUGAGUAUGGGAGAGGAUGAGGGAAUUCCCGGUGUAGCGGUGAAAUGCGCAGAUAUCGGGAGGAACACCCGUAGCGAAGGCGGCACUCUGGGCCGGAACUGACGCUGAGGAGCGAAAGCGUGGGGAGCAAACAGG